rnacentral:rRNA from 1 species
UACAGAGGGUGCGAGCGUUGUUCGGAAUUAUUGGGCGUAAAGGGCGCGUAGGCGGUGCGGUAAGUCACCUGUGAAAUCUCCUGGCUCAACUGGGAGCUUGCAGGCGAAACUGCCGUGCUGGAGUGUGGGAGAGGUGCGUGGAAUUCCUGGUGUAGCGGUGAAAUGCGUAGAUAUCAGGAGGAACACCUGUGGCGAAAGCGGCGCACUGGACCACAACUGACGCUGAGUCGCGAAAGCUAGGGGAGCAAACAGG